rnacentral:lncRNA from 9 species
CUCUUUAGGACUGCACUUGCAGCGUAUGUAGUUCCCAAGCUAGGGGUCAAAUCAGGAUUGUAGCCGCUGGCCUAUACCACAGCCACCACAAUGCCAGAUCUGGGCCAUGUCUGUAACCUACACCACAGCUCAUGAUAACACCGGAUCCUUAACCCACUGAGCAAGAUGUAGCUCGGAUCCCACAUUGCCGUGGCUCUGGUGUAGGCUGGCAGCAACAGCUCUGAUUAGACCCCUAGCUUGGGAACCUCCAUACGCCACAAGAGCAGCCCUAGAAAAGGCAAAAAAGACAAAUAAAUAAAUAAUAAAAUAAAAUAAAAUCAUAUUGCCAAUGACACACAUGUAUACGUUCUCCAUCUAGAAUUUAAACUCUUCGAAGUCUAUAUUAUUCCACUUUAAUUUUUCAUGCUGUUUACUGAAUGAAGAUGAUGAAACUGACCUUUCAGGAAGACAGUGGUGUUGGGGUUAUUUUUAUAAGACAGGGAUAGAUGCCCUGAACCAACCAUGUUCUUACUUGCUCUUAGUUACCAAAGGCUGGGAGGUUAGAUGUGCAGAUAAUGCUUAUGGUAUAAGAAGACUUCUUUCUCCUUAGUGAAUAAAACUAAAUUUUUAGGACAAUCUAACCCAAGUCAUAAAUGAAUGAUUUAAAAAAAAAACUGUAUCCUAAUAACUCUUAAGAAAGAAUAAGCCAGGAGUUCCCAUCAUGGCUCAGCGGAAAUCAAUCUGACUAGUAACCAGGAGGACACAGGUUCCAUCCCUGGCCUCGCUCACUGGGUUGAGGAUCUGGAGUUGCCGUGAGCUGAGGUGCAGGUCACAGAUUUGGCAAGGAUCUGGCGUGGCUGUGGCUGUGGCGUAGGCCAGCGGCUACAGCUCCAAUUUGCCUCUAGCCUCAACCUCCAUAUGCUGAGAGGGCGGCCCUAAAGAAAAGAGAGAGAAUGAACAAGGCAGUCAACCUUGAGUAUGUGAGGUUGUGUACCUCCACCUCAAUUCCAUGCUGGCCCCUGAGAUGAUGCAAGUUCAUGGUCACACAGGUGGUACAAAGACCUAUAGAGUUGUAAGGUUUUACAUUGUCCAUAAAGGAGAAUAUUUUUUUUUCUUUUUUUAAGACUGCACUCACAGCAUGUGGAGGUUCCCAGGCCAGGGGUCAAAUAGGAGCUAAGAGCUGCCAGCCUACACCACAGCCACAGCAGUGGAGGAUCUAAGCCGAGUCUGCGACCUACACCACAGCUCAUAGUAACGCUGGAUCCUCAACCCACUGUGUGAGGCCAGGGAUUGAACCCACAACCUCAUGAUUACUAGCUGGGUUCGUUAACCACCGAGCCACGAAAGGAACUCCCAUAAAGGAGAAUAUUAACCCUAAGUAAACUAUGAAAAGUUAUGUAAGAUAUUUUGUAAUCCUGAGCACAAUCACUAAAAAAUAAAGCAAAGAGAUAGCUAUAUGACAAGAGAUACGUCAAAACUGAGUUCUAAAAUGGUGAUUUCUAAGAAAGUCAAAAUAGGAAUGAAACAAAAAAGAGGAGACAAACAGACAAAAAGUUUAAGUUGAAUAAAGAGGCAGAAGAUAUAAUCAUCUAAAUGCUGAGAAAAAAUAACUAGGGACAAUCUUGAGCUCCCUGGUGCCUCAGUGGAUUAAGGAUCUGGCAUUGUCACUGCUGUGGUAUGGGUUCAAUCCCUGGCCUAGGAACUUCUGCAUGUCAUAGGCAUGGCCAAAAAAAAAAAAAAAAAAAAA